rnacentral:rRNA from 1 species
GACGAACGCUGGCGGCGUGCUUAACACAUGCAAGUCGAACGGUGAACCUCUUCGGAGGGGAUCAGUGGCGAACGGGUGAGUAACACGUGGGCAACCUGCCCCCGGCUCUGGGAUAACUCCAAGAAAUUGGGGCUAAUACCGGAUGUUCACCGCUUCCCGCAUGGGUGGUGGUGGUAAGGGUUUCCGGCUGGGGAUGGGCCCGCGGCCUAUCAGCUUGUUGGUGGGGUAGUGGCCUACCAAGGCGACGACGGGUAGCCGGCCUGAGAGGGUGACCGGCCACACUGGGACUGCGACACGGACCAGACUGCUACGGGGGGCAGCGGUGGGGAGUAUUGCGCAAUGGGCGGAAGCGUGAGGCAGCGACGCCGCGUGGGGGAUGACGGCCUUGGGGUUGUAAACCUCUUUCAGCAGGGACGAAGCGCAAGUGACGGUACCUGCAGAAGAAGCACCGGCCAACUACGUG